ACCAAACUGUUUCCUUAUGUCACAUUUGUAUAUAUGUAUGUGUGUUGUUCAUGUAUGUAUGUUUGUACAUUUCCUCUUUUAGCAAAAGACUAAAGUGGUGCAAUAAACCUACUCCGCUUAAAUAAAUUUAAUGUUUUCAUAGUAGGUUUUAUCUCUAUUGAAUAAAGUUAAUGUUUUAUAAAAGUUUAUUUUUCUUUACUGAAUGCUUAUUUUUUAAUUACUUUAGGAACAAGUCACCAUGAUAAAUUUAAUAAAUAUGCAGGUUUCAAAAGGAAAGAUGAUCGUUUUUGUUUGUAGUUUUUAAUUAUUGGAUGCUUUAAUUCUUUGUAAUUUCUAUUUUGCUAAAAUGGGUCCUGGAGGUUUUAUUGAAUUUGUGUUUGUAUUUUGAAGGGCUGGAGUAUGAGUAGAAAGAUGUGAACCUUUUUAAGGGAGAGCAGAUCAAUCCAGCUGCAGCUCUUUCACGAGACCAUAAUCCUGGCCAAACUUAUGAGCGUCAAAGGACUAAGGAUGUAGGAGGUUUGAUACUCUGGGCAGGAGUUAUCAAAAUUAGUUGCUAAAUUGGCUGAGGAAGGAAAG